rnacentral:rRNA from 1 species
GAUGAACGCUGGCGGCGUGCCUAAUACAUGCAAGUCGAGCGAACAGAUGAUGAGCUUGCUCCUCUGACGUUAGCGGCGGACGGGUGAGUAACACGUGGAUAACCUACCUAUAAGACUGGGAUAACUUCGGGAAACCGGAGCUAAUACCGGAUAAUAUAUUGAACCGCAUGGUUCAAUAGUGAAAGACGGUUUUGCUGUCACUUAUAGAUGGAUCCGCGCCGCAUUAGCUAGUUGGUAAGGUAACGGCUUACCAAGGCAACGAUGCGUAGCCGACCUGAGAGGGUGAUCGGCCACACUGGAACUGAGACACGGUCCAGACUCCUACGGGAGGCAGCAGUAGGGAAUAUUCGGCAAUGGGCGAAAGCCUGACGGAGCAACGCCGCGUGAGUGAUGAAGGUCUUCGGAUCGUAAAACUCUGUUAUUAGGGAAGAACAAAUGUGUAAGUAACUAUGCACGUCUUGACGGUACCUAAUCAGAAAGCCACGGCUAACUACGUG